rnacentral:rRNA from 1 species
GAGUUUGAUCCUGGCUCAGAACGAACGCUGGCGGCAGGCCUAACACAUGCAAGUCGAGCGCGCCUUUCGGGGUGAGCGGCGGACGGGUUAGUAACGCGUGGGAAUAUGCCCAAAGGUACGGAAUAGCCUCUGGAAACGGAGAGUAAUACCGUAUGUGCCCUUCGGGGGAAAGAUUUAUCGCCUUUGGAUUAGCCCGCGUUAGAUUAGGUAGUUGGUGGGGUAAUGGCCUACCAAGCCUACGAUCUAUAGCUGGUUUUAGAGGAUGAUCAGCAACACUGGGACUGAGACACGGCCCAGACUCCUACGGGAGGCAGCAGUGGGGAAUCUUGGACAAUGGGGGCAACCCUGAUCCAGCCAUGCCGCGUGAGUGAUGAAGGCCUUAGGGUCGUAAAGCUCUUUCGCCUGUGAAGAUAAUGACGGUAGCAGGUGAAGAAACCCCGGCUAACUCCGUGCCAGCAGCCGCGGUAAUACGGAGGGGGUUAGCGUUGUUCGGAAUUACUGGGCGUAAAGCGCACGUAGGCGGAUCGGAAAGUUGGGGGUGAAAUCCCGGGGCUCAACCCCGGAACUGCCUCCAAAACUAUCGGUCUAGAGUUCGAGAGAGGUGAGUGGAAUUCCGAGUGUAGAGGUGAAAUUCGUAGAUAUUCGGAGGAACACCAGUGGCGAAGGCGGCUCACUGGCUCGAUACUGACGCUGAGGUGCGAAAGUGUGGGGAGCAAACAGGAUUAGAUACCCUGGUAGUC